CUUUCUGAAAUACUCAAUUCUGAUUGGUCAAUCGCAACAUUCAGUGGUCAGAUUUCCUAAUGUCGUCUAUCCUUUACAAAAAUUAACCAUGGUUUUAUUAUAGUAAAAGUGUAACCAUGUUUUCUUAGUGGAUUGAAUACCAUUUGUAUAUUCACCAGUUUUACUACAAAUAUCAUGGUUAAGCUAUGGUUAGUGUAGCAAAACCAUGGUUAAUUUGUUGUUACCAUUGUUUAAUAACCAUGUUUUUUUUUGUUUGUUUUUUUGCUUUUAUUUAGUUUUAUGUUGUAAAAUCAUGGUUCAUUUUCAUAAGGGACAGCAAAGCUGAUGUUGAUGAUGUAGUAAGAGAACACAAGGAUGCAAGAUGGCUUAUUGGUACGUUCAAGUUCAUAUUUACCAGGUGGGAAGUUGUGUUUACGACAUCAGGUGCAUUCAAGUAACCAAGAUGGCGAUGUACCCUAUCUUCAUUAAUAACUACACAAAAAUACAGCAAGGUUUUUUAAAUCUAGAAGAACAAAUAAUGUGCAUCAGGUGUGUUUUGCUUUUUGAUGUUUUUAAUUAAUUUCUGAAGCUACUGUAAACCUUAUCAUUACAUAUUGUUAUAUUACAAUGCUAUAUUUUGUGCAGGGAAUUCGCUUAUUUUGUUCUAAAUAAAAAAGCCUGACAAUUUCACAACUAAAUAUUGCAAUAUGACACGCCCCCAACUCGUACCGAAAAUCCCGAGCUUCCCACUGGUAUUUACGACUUUGUGGCGACGUUCGUGCAUGUUUAACUCGUAAAUCUUUUCGACAUGACCAUAAGAACGCAUAUUGAGAAAAGGCCAUGAAGAUCAGUCCAAAAUGGUGUAGCCUACUAAAAAAAUAAUGGCACUACUUUCAUGUCGUAUCACACCGCUAACUCGCGCGCUCUCUCGUUUCAAACACAACGGGUGCCAUCUUGCCUCAGCUAUCGGUUGACCUCAGAGAAAUAAUAUAAUAUCUUUGUACACCGAUUCGUUUACAUUGUGAUGGAUUUUUUUCCUCAGCGAAGCUUUGAGACAAAAACGCAGAGCAGCCAAGACACAGAAGAAAGAAACUUAUACAAGUUUGAAACAAAAUGAGGCAGACAAGAACAGACAAAGAAAGAGAGACUCUGAGAGAGAUAAGCAAAUGUAAGAAUGUGUACCUUCAGGGAAACCUUUGGGGAUCAGAAAUGGAAAGGAAACCACUCAACAAAAGGAAACAGAGAAGAAGAGCCAUACAACUGAACUGUGAUUAAAGCGUCUGUUUAACACAGGCACGACGGCCGCAGACGCUGGUGACGCACUCCUGACCUCUCAAGACCCCGUGAUUGACAGGUAAUCUCAGGACACACAGGGAGGAGCCCAUAGAGAGCAGAAACAAGAGAACGUCAGUCUGACAGAGAGAAAGAGAAGAUGGGAAGAUAGAAGAGUGUUUUGCAGUGCUGCCAGCAAUGACUCAAAGGUUAAAAUAAGCUGGUGUUGAAAUGAAAAGAUCAUUUCCCCAAGGGUUUUGUUCACAGCAAAGAGCUAAGGAACCAUGCACACACACAUACAUACACUAUCAUAUAAAGACAAACAGCUUUAAUAACUCAGUAAGUGUGUAUUGAUUAUACAGGCGCCAUGUCACUGAGAAACUUCCUUGUUCUGAUUUAAAAUCAAUAAGUAAGCUGAACACAUUUUGCAGUGUUCUUGUUGUUGAAGUAACAAAUGUGGGCGGGAACAUCAGUGGGACUAACGCAGGUGUCAGUCAACAAAGCCCCUAGCAACACCAGCUGUCAACAUCUGGACCCACGGCAACCGUGCUUGUUCAAUGCCUGGCAACAGCAUUUGAGCAACAACUUCCAAUCAAUGAGAGCAUUUAAUUAUUUCUCAUCUGAGCUUAAUUUACUCACAGACAAAAUUAACAUGAUCAACUUUUUUUACAAAAUGAUUGACUUCAUUGCAACUUUCUACAACAGUCUAUCGUUCUUAGCUGACAUUAGGAUUAAUUUUAUUUACACAAGUGAAAAAUGAGUCAUAAUUACUUGCAUUUAUUUAAUGUGUAAUUCUAUCUAUCUAUCUAUCUAUGUCUAUCUUUAUUUUUGUUAUUGUUUGUGCAAUUGUGUUUGUUCAUGUAUGAGAGAAAGAGAGUAAUUUGAUUUCUCCCCCCUGCAUACUCUGGGUAAAAGCUUCUUCUUUGUGUGUGUGUGUGUGUGUGUGUGUGUGUGUGUGUGUGUGUGUGUGUAUGGAUGCUAAAAAUACUCCCAACCGGUGAGUCAUCGACCAUUGCACCAAUCGGUCUUUUCAAGCGUGUCCGUUCUGGCACUAUCUGUGCCCACACACACACAACAUAAGCCUUUUCAUGUAAAUCCAGCUUAACAGAAUGUUGCUCACAUAUAUUUAGAAAGCCUUUGGCACAAAGCAAAAUAAAGAUGUUACCUGAAUUGAGAUUUACACAAUAAAGUUUGGAGUUGUUUACAAACCCCUGACCUCUAAACAGUGCCUCUGGUCUCCUGCCAGCUCCAUCAGGAUGAUUUCAGCACAGCUCCUGAUCUGAACAGCAGUGUUACUGCAAGACAAUCUGUGUGGUGGAAAAUCAGUCCUAAACAAUGUCCUAAAGUUUUCAGUGACAGGUAAUAUGUGUUUCUACACUCGAAGUGAAAAUGCUCAGAAAAUAUUUUAUUUUUACUCUAUACUAUACUUAAGUAUUUACUAUACUUCAACUGGAUCAUUGAGAUUCCACUAUAGGCCGGGCUACAGCAUCCUCACUUACAGUAAUUAAAACGAUAGUUUACCAUUUCAACAAGUCAUUUCAACCCUGUAUGAUUUUCUUUUCUUCUGCUGAACACAAAAGAAAAGACUUUGAAGAAUGUUAUUGUCCAAUGCUUUUUUGGACCCAAUUGACUUCAAUUGUAUGUAUGAAAAGAUAUUAUUCAAAAUAUCUUCUUUUGUUCUCUACAAAAGAAAGACAUUUCUAGAGUUGGAACAACAUGCUGGUGAGUAAAUGUUGACAGAAUGAUCAUUUUUGGGUUAACUAUCACUUUAAUGUUGACCAAUUGAACAUAUUGUAAAGUUUUUGCGCAUUUUGCUUU